rnacentral:rRNA from 1 species
AUUGAACGCUGGCGGCAGGCCUAACACAUGCAAGUCGAACGAGUGGCGGACGGGUGAGUAAUGUCUGGGAAACUGCCCGAUGGAGGGGGAUAACUACUGGAAACGGUAGCUAAUACCGCAUACCAUCGGAUGUGCCCAGAUGGGAUUAGCUAGUAGGUGGGGUAAUGGCUCACCUAGGCGACGAUCCCUAGCUGUUCUGAGAGGAUGACCAGCCAAAAGGGAACUGAGACACGGUUCAGAGUCCUACGGGAUGAAGCAGUGGGGAAUAUUGCACAAUGGGCGCAAGCCUGAUGCAGCCAUGCCGCGUGUAUGAAGAAGGCCUUCGGGUUGUAAAGUACUUUCAGCGGGGAGGCGUUACCCGCAGAAGAAGCACCGGCUAACUCCGUGCCAGCCGCCGCGGUAAUUC